UACGUAGGGUGCAAGCGUUGCCCGGAUUUAUUGGGCGUAAAGGGCGUGUAGGCGGUCCGGUAAGUCCGCUGUGAAAGUCGGGGGCUCAACCCUCGGAUGCCGGUGGAUACUGUCGGGCUUGAGUACGGAAGAGGAGUGUGGAAUUCCUGGUGUAGCGGUGAAAUGCGCAGAUAUCAGGAGGAACACCAAUGGCGAAGGCAGCACUCUGGGACGGUACUGACGCUGAGACGCGAAAGCGUGGGGAGCAAACAGG
rnacentral:rRNA from 1 species